ACCGCUAGGGUUGAGAAUGAGAAAACAAGCCAGGCCUGGUGACUCACACCUGUCAUCUCAGCACGAUAACGUCCAGCCUGCGCUACAUACUGAGAACCUGUCUCUCUUCGUUUGCUUAAGACAGUGUUUCACUUUGGAAUCCAGGCUGGCCUAGAACUGUCUAGGUCAGACUGGUCGGGAAAUCAUCCUCCCACAGCCUCUGAAGUACUGAGAUUUUAGAUGUGCGAUACUAUAUAAACAGCUAAGAAGUAAUUUGAAAAUUUAUAAUUACAUUGGAGGUGGUGGUGGCGGUGGUGGUGGUGGUGGUAUGUGGUGUGUACACGUAGUGGGAGGGAGAGGUGUCAUCCUCCUGUGGAAGUCUAAAACAACUUAUAGGAGUUGUUUCUUCUGGCAGGUCAUCCUGGGGGUUGAACUCAGGCCACCAGGCCUGGCUGCAGGUGGUUUUACCCAAUGGGCCAUCUCACUGAAUGGUAAACAUAUCACCCAGCUCUCUCAGCUUCAGCCUUCAAUUUUACUUCCUAGAGUAAGUACCCUGUGGGUGGGACCACUAACAUUUUUCCCAGCCCACAGUUCUGGUUAGUAAUGUAAAGGUCCUCCACCAGGUGUGGUGGCCGCACACAUCUAAUCCCAACAUUCCAGAAACCGAGACUGAUGGAUCUCUGAGUUUGCAGCCAGUCUGGCUCAGGCAGGGAAGUCCAGGCCAGCUAGCCUGGUGAGUGAGGCCUUGUCCAACAGAGCAAAGGGGGCUUAUUCUUUUCUCCUAUUCUUUUGUUUUUCAAGAUAGUGUUUCUGUGUGUAGCCCUGGCUGGCCUGGAACUCACAGAGAUUUGUCUCUGCCUCCCAAGUGCUGGGAUCAAAGGCAUGUGCGUGACUCGGGACCUCCUCUUAAGGGCUUUGGGAGUGGCAUGUGAUUGGGAGAGUUCAGCUGGGAGCUGCACAGCUCUGCUUCACUGGCCCCACCCCUGCCAUUCCACUGCAGCAGUGUGGCAGUGUUCAUUUCCUUUGGUUGGUUUGGUUUUUGUUUUUCAGGACAGGGUUUCUCUGUGUAGUCCUGGCUGUUCUAGAACUCACUCUGUAGACCAAGCUGGCCUCACAUUCAGAGAUUCACCCACUUCUACCUCCAAGUCCUGGGAUUAAAGGUGUACACUACUAUUCUCCCCAAGCGUUUAUUUUUCCUAAGAUUAAUCCUAGAGUUCCUCUCACCAUCCUAUGGAUGGGUGCAGCAGACACAGGAACAGGUGCAUGGCACAGCUGUGCUGACUCCCAUGCUGCUUGCACAGCCAUCUGGCCAGUCCUCACUUCCUGCUGUCUUGGAUCAGGAAGCUUCCUUUCACCCUCCUUGCUGCUGCCAUAUCAUCUCACAGCACCAGCUUCUUCCUGUCAGCUGAUCUUUCACUUUUGUACUCACUUCACAUCCGGAUCACUGCACCCCUCCUCCCAGUCCCCGGGGAUCACUCUAUUUUCACACACAUUACACUAUUCAUUUCUCCUUUCCAACUGACCCCCCCCCACUUCACUCUCAUGUGUUUUCUCUCUCAUUUAGGUGUAUGUCGCACCUCAGUGAAUUUCAUCAGGGUUGCUUACAGGAGCAUUGAGUACAGUUAUUUAUAGGAAGAUAGCACCUCACCAGUGAUUACAUUACUAAAGAAAAUGUCUCCCUAAUCCCAGCUAACAGAAAAGGAUGAAUACGGGGCUUUGUGAGCUCCUUGCCCUGACUUCAUGAAGUCUUUGGACUGUGAAACCCUGCUUCAUUAUCCUGACCUGAUGUCUCUGCGAGUUCAAGGCCAGGCUAGUCUACAGAGUAAGUUCCAGGACAGCCAAGGCUACACAGUGAAACCAUUUCAAAAAACCAGAAAAAAAUAUAUGCAUAUAUAAUAUAUAUAAUUAGAAAAUAUAUCCUGGAUUACUAUAAUGUGUUUCCCAUUAUAAUCAUUUCCUUAUAAACAUUCUACAGAGUUUGUUCCCUCAAGAUAGGAGGUUACGGGGUUGGGGAUUUAGCUCAGUGGUAGAGUGCUUGCCUAGGAAGCGCAAGGCCCUGGGUUCAAUUCCCAGCUCCGAAAAAAAAGAACCCCCCCCAAAAAAAAAAAAAGAUAGGAGGUUACGUCUCUUUCAUAGCGCCUAGGUACAUAAAAAGGGUUACUUCUAGGAUUUCAAGAGGCAGAAGACUCAUGCGCGUGGAAGGUUAAAACAGAGUUCAGGGCCAGCCUGAGCUACAGAGACCCAAUCUCAAUCCAGCUAUAAUAUGACUAAACUUAGGAGAGAAUUAAUCGUUGCAGGGCAGAGUGUUGAAAUGACUCAGCUGGUAAAGGCACCUGCCAUCAAGUACAACAUCCUCAGUUUGUUUCCUGGGACCCACGUGGUAGGAGAGAACCAACAUUCAUAAAUUACUACUGAGCUCCACAUUUGCACCACUGCCCUGAGAGUGUACAUUCAUACACACACGCGCGCGCGCGCGCACACACACACACACGCGUGCACACACACACACACACACACACGCACGCACGCACACACAAAUAUACAAAAAGGUCAGUUCCUUUUAGAUUAUGAGUCUCAUGUAUGAUAACAAAGAUGAUGACUCCAAAACUUGCAGUGAACUUGAAGCUGGUUUUAUAGCUUAAUCUGCAUUUUCUCAGAGGUCCUCCCUUAAUAAGCACUUUAUAUUAUAUGGAAAGAAACUCAUUAAUCCAGCACUUGUUAGAGGCACAGGCAAUAUCUCUUUAAGCUGAAGGCCAGCCUGUUCUGUACAAAUGUGAAGCAGUGGCUAGGUAGGGCUGGAGACACAGCUUGCACUAGGUGCUCUCACAGCUCAGCACUAGAUCUCUCACAGCUCAGUACUAGAUGCUCUCACAGCUCAGUACUAGGUGCUCUCACAGCUCAGUACUAGAUGCUCUCACAGCUCAGCACUAGAUGCUCUCACAGCUCAGUACCAGAUCUCUCACAGCUCAGUACUAGAUGCUCUCACAGCUCAGCACUAGAUCUCUCACAGCUCGCACUAGGUGCUCUCACAGCUCAGUACUAGAUGCUCUCACAGCUCGCACUAGGUGCUCUCACAGCUCAGCACUAGAGGCUCUAGCAGAGGAGUCGGGUUGCUGAAAUGCUUGUCACAGAAGCUUGAGUUUGACCCCUAACACCCAUGUAAAAGCAAGAUAGGGCACUGUGCCUGUAAUCCCAGCACUGGGGAGACAAAGAGAUCUCUGCGGAUACUGACCAGCCAGUCUAUACAAACUGGCAAGGUCCAGAUCCUACGAGAUACAGUCAUCUCAAAAAUUAAGGGGAAAAGGGAUUGAGGAAGAUACCAGGCCCACCCUUGGGUGUGUGGAUGUGAACAUGUACACAAACAUACACACAAAGCAAUGAAACGGUUCUGAAAUAUGGGAUUCUAACAGUCUAAUACUAGUGUAAUAGCAGAUAUACUAUAAUACAUGAGUAAGAAAACUGGUUCACAAGAAGGGGGCUGACAGAGGGUAGAAGAUAGCCGGCAGCUUAAGAACACUCACUGCCUUUGCAGAGAACCUGGGUUUGACUACAUGCAGUGCCAGUUCUAGAGAGUCUGAUGCCUUCUUUGAACUCUAUGGCAUCAGGCAAGCAAAUGGUGCACUUACCAGUGGGUCACACACUUACACAUACAACUUCAAAAAAACACUUUGGGCUGCAGAGAUGGCUAAGUGGUUAAGAACACUGACUGCUCCCCCCCCCCCCCCCCCCGGAGCUGGGGAUGGAACCCAGGGCCUUGCGCUUCCUAGGCAAGCGCUCUACCACUGAGCUAAAUCCCCAAUCCCCAGGCUGCUGUUUUUGGAGUUGAGAAAGGCUCACGUAAAGUCAGGCUUAGUGGCCUGUGUCUUCAAUCCCAGCACUUGAGAUCCAGAGGCAGGCAGAUCUCUGUGAAUUUGGUCCACAUAGUGAGUUCCAGAGCUACACAGCGAGACCAUGGGGAAGGGGGCUGCUGCAGAGAUGGCUUAGCCAUUCAAGGAUAGGCUCAUAAACAAAAAUGUAAGAGAAAGCACACAUAAAUGCUGAGCACAAAAACGGCUUACAGUCCUUGCUCUUGUGAGGCUAUGGCAAGACUGUCCUGAGUUUUAUAUAUAGCUCAGCUUGGGCUAGACUGCAAACGUCUGAGGAAAAGCCGGCGAGGAAAGUAAAACUAGCUUGCCCCCAUGUACAGGGUGUCAGAACUCCUAAGCACCCUCAUGUGUUUGUUUCAUUUUACUUUAGGGCAAAUACAGGUUCCAGGUACCAGUCACCGCUUCAUUGGACAAAGGAAACCACGUGUGGCACUGCUGCAGUCACAGUACUGGGGAGGCUGAGGUAGGAGAAUCGUCACUAGUUUGAGACCAACCUGGGGUACACAGACCAUGUCAGACCAUGUCUCAAAAAUUCAAGAGAAAGUUACAUGAAUUCUGCAUUCUGUCCAUAACUCACCUGAGAAGCUACCUUGGAAUUUGGUACUCUGUGAAGGCACACCAUUUUUUGUGUCUUCAUAAUUUGAAACUAGGUCUACAUAAUAAUGGUCCUUGGUGCCCUAGGCCACUCCAAAAACCAGGCUAUAAGCUGCUCAGGUCUUAAAUGUGUCUCUGCCUGCCUACACACACCCAUCUUUUUUUUUUCCAGAGAACUCAGGUGUCCCUCAGGAACCUGCUUUGAGGUCACAUGGCACAUGGCAUUUACAGUGGAGGCCAGGGGUAAGUCUGGCGUCCCCUCUACAGCUUUAUGUGAACUGAAGGAUCAAAUCAUUAGAUCAUGAGAGGCUAGAAAGACCGCUCAGCAGUUAAGGAGCAGUGGCUGCUCUUCCAGAGGACCUAGGUUUGAGUCUCAUCACCAACAUGGCAGCUCACAGCCAUCUGACUCCAGUUCCUGGGGAACCAAUACCGUCUUCUGGCUCUGUGGACGCCAGACGUGCACGAAAACAGACACACGCAGGCAUGCCCUAUAUAAAAACUUUCCGCUUUAAAUUUUCCAAGGCAGGGUUUCUCUGUAUAACCCUGGCUGUACUGGAACUCGCUUUGUAGACCAGGCUGGCCUCAAACUCAGAGAUCCACCUGCCUCUGCCUCCCAAGUGCUGGACACCUAGCACAUAAAACCUUCAGAAAAAAAUUCUUAGGGAGUUUUCAUGGCAAGUGCCUUUUCCCACUGAGCCAUCUUGCCAGAUCCUUCAUAAUUCUCUCGUGAACCAGCAUGGUAGUCCAUACCUUACUCCCAGCAACAGGGAGGCAGAGAAUAAUGGGUCUCUGUGAGUUUGAGGUCAAUUAGUAUACUUAAUAAUUAUAGAUCAGGGGGUGGGGAUUUAGCUCAGUGGUAGAGUGCUUGCCUAGCAAGCGCAAGGCCCUGGAUUCAGUCCCCAGUUCCGAAAAAAAG
rnacentral:lncRNA from 1 species